CCUACGGGUGGCAGCAGUGAGGAAUAUUGGUCAAUGGGCGGGAGCCUGAACCAGCCAAGCCGCGUGAGGGAAGAAGGUACAGCGUAUCGUAAACCUCUUUUGUCAGGGAACAAAGGCGGGGACUAGUCCCCGGAUGCGGGUACCUGAAGAAAAAGCAUCGGCUAACUCCGUGCCAGCAGCCGCGGUAAUACGGAGGAUGCGAGCGUUAUCCGGAUUUAUUGGGUUUAAAGGGUGCGCAGGCGGCCUGUUAAGUCAGCGGUAACAGCCCGGGGCUCAACCCCGGCGAGCCGUUGAAACUGGCGGGCUGGAGUUGGAGAGAAGUACGCGGAAUGCGCGGUGUAGCGGUGAAAUGCUUAGAUAUCGCGCAGAACCCCGAUUGCGAAGGCAGCGGACCGGCUCCACACUGACGCUGAGGCACGAAAGCGUGGGUAUCGAACAGGAUUAGAUACCCCAGUAGUC
rnacentral:rRNA from 1 species